CUGAUUCGUCGAGGAUGAAGGCAAACCGGUUGUAACAAACUCAUGAGAGAGACUGAAGAUCAGUACCUAUCUGACCUUCUUUGAGAUCUAUGAUUAACGAAGUCAGAUCGUCGGCGAAGAAGGUCAGACUGUGAUCAAAUGUCUCUCUCUCUCUCUCUAAAUUGCAGUUGAGACGGCUCGUAUUCUGGCGGAAUUCUUGGAGGUUGUGGUCACUUCCGUCGUCUCCUCAAAAGAGUAUACCCUCCAGCAACAGUGGUGCUCGGGUUCCAGCCAAGGCAGAGAGUAGCGUGGUCGGGUUGAGUCGUGGUCCCUGGUUUUUUGUUUUUUGCUGUUUGGUUACAUCAAAACCCUGGCUUCUCUGUGAAGAUCUAUUUUCUUUUUUCCAAGCUUCUGAAUACAUAUUUUUUUUAUAUGUGCAACUUUUGAAGAGGUUGUUCUUGUUAAUUAUUUUUUUUUUGUUGUUGUUGUUUGUUGAUGAUUUGCCUAAGGUAGUUUCAUUUUGUACAGAUAAUUGAUCAUCUGUGUGCUAUUUGGUAUUGGUGUUGGUGUUAAUGAUGAUCAAACAGAUAAAUUUUCGUUUUUGUUUUGGUAUUGUACAUAUAAGAAUGAUGGAGAGGGAGAGAGAGAGAGAUAGAGAGAUGAGAGAUUUGAACAGAUAAUAAAAUAUGUUUAAAAUUUGAACAAAUAAAAAAAUUUAAAUAGAUAAAAAAUUGAACAGAUAGUUUUAAACAAAUAAGUGAAAAAAUUGAAUAGAUAAUAAAAAUUGGACAGAUAUUUGAACAGUUAAGGAUAAAAAAUUUGAACAUAUAGGAAAAUUUUUGAACAAUUAAGAAUUUUUUUUGAACAUAUAGGAAAAUUUUUGAAUAGUUAAGAAAAACUUUGAACAGAUAGUCAACGAAAGUCAACAACAAAAAAGUUAACAGAUAAAUUAAGGCGUAAAAUUAGAAAUAAAAUAUCUUUCAAAACUAACGGACUUCUCACUAAAUUAUUUUACAAAUGAUGAACUUCUCAUCAAAAUAAAAAAAUAAAAAAAUAAACAAAAAUGGACAUAAUACUUUAGACAUUCUCUAAAUUAAAUUUAGCUCUAAUUUAUUCUAUACUUUUUAGGGAGAAUUAUUUAUAAGUCUUAUUCGGGAGACUUAUAUAAUGUAAAGUUUUGUGUAAUUUCUUAUAGAGUUUGAAGUCCUAUUUAAAUUAGAAAGUAUUUCACAAUGUCUUAUAAAUUGUGUUUAAAUGGUAUUAGUGUAAUAUUAUACCCUUUAUAUAUGUUUCCAUGUUAUAAGUUAUUAACCGUAUUAUUUAUUGGAGACUUUUAAGAAACUUUAUUGUGUAGGCUUCGUCUGGUGCCAUGAUCUGAGCCACGAUCGCGGAGGUUGGUGGGUUUUGAAAGUGUUACUGGUUUGGAUGGUUUUGUUGUUUGAUCUUGCCGAUCUGGACUCAAAUUAUUUGAGGAAAGGAGAUAAAGUUGUCUGUUUCUUCAAUUGGAUAUGGACAUCAUGUUAUUUUGCAUCUUCGGUUCAUCCACUGUUGCUGUCAGGGGUGUUAAUAGAUUGGCAUUCAAACAAUUAGUUGAAAAUUUAUGUGAUAGGUGGGCGGAUGUGACACCGUCAUCGAUUUCCAUAUCUUAUAAACUACCGUGUCACGAGAACCAAUUCAUGACGAGUAAUGAUGUGGAUAUGGAAAACAUGUUUUCCAUUGUAAGGUCCUUCGGUGUUACUCGUAUCAACGUUGCGAUUGACUUGCAAAAUGAAAUGACUGAUUUGAUUCGAGGUAAUCAAUACGGUGGGACUAUCUCUGCAAGUCAAAUAUAUCCUAACAUUGAACAAUUAUUAGGUCCCGAAACUAACGUAGAUUUGUUGCUCAAUUAUUGUCGCCAUAGUGAGAAAACGUUGAUGACAAUUGAUUGGUUACACGACAUUAGUCACGUAGGCCAAUGUUUCGAAGGGGGUGCUGCUGCAUUUCGUUUGGUUCUGUCCAAAUAUGAUAUUGAGUAUGGGUUUGACUUCAAAUUCAUGAAAAACGAUUCAGUGUGCGUUACAGUUGUGUGUACGUUGCGAGAGCAAAAAGGGUGUACAUGGUUGAUACAUGAAAUGGUUCAAAUAUAGAAUGGAUACUUUUAUUUGAAAAGGUUGAACAACUUGCAUAAUUGUGGUGUUGUUGUUCGCAUUGGGAAGAAUAGUAGACUCAACUCUGAAUUGGUUUGCAAUGUUAUUGGCGAUCGAUUACGUGAUAAGCUGUUUACACGUCCCACUGACGUCGUAUUUGACCUAAAAAAGGAGUACGGACUGAAUGUUAGUUAUCACAUAGCCUGGUUAGGUGUGGAGAAGGCAAGAGGCGAAGUGUAUGGUGACUAUGAUGUUUCAUUCGAUCAACUUAGGUGGUAUGCGGAUGCGGUUAUGCAGUACAACCCUCGGAGUUAUGUCAACUUGGAUUUCGAGCAGUCAACCAGCCGAUUUAAGCGGUUUUUCAUAUUAUUCAAAUCUUGCAUUGACGGAUUCAACCAUAUUCGCCAAUUAUUGUUUCUUGAUGGCACUUUUUUGAAAGGGAGAUUUAAAGGCAAUUUGCUUGCAGUGAUGGGGAAAAAUGGUGACAAAGGUACAUGUCUUAUGAUGAUUACUUCAAAAUUCCAUAUAGUAACGCAUCACAUUACGACUAAACAUUUUUUAUUAAUCCACUAUAGCAGUGGGGGAUCCCUAGUGGUAAGAUUGUUUCCAAUUUAAUAUUAUUUUCAUAUCAUUGUCUAUGGUGCGAUUUGAAUUGUGAACAAUUGUUAAUGUGAAUGUAAACUUUGUUAAAAAUAUUACACAUCUAACAUAAAACUUGUCAAAUCUGCCAGGUUUAUUCCCAUUAGCUUUUGCUAUUGUUGACUCUAAAACGACUGCAAAUUGGACUUAGUUUUUACAGCACCUGACAAACGUUGCCAGUAGUGCCCGCACAUUAAUUUUCAUAUUUGAUCAUAAUGCUGGGUUGCUCGAAUCCUUGCCUACUGUAUUCCCAUCUGCAUACCAUGCGUACUGCUUACAACAUCUCCAGGCAAGUUUGAGGGACAAAUUACGAUGGGUUAACAAUUGUGUCCAUUUUGGUUUAAUGGCCAAGUUGUGUGAAUGUGCAUAUGCUCCAACUGAGGCUUCGUUUUAGCACCAUUUGACCAUGCUAAAAGGAUCAGGACGAUCUGGAAUAAAUAAUUUCUUGGAAGAUAUGCCAUCGAACCAUUAGGCCAAUGCGUAUUUCAGGUUUGUACGAUAUUUACAUGUGAUAAUAUUUUCAUUAUGUUUUCAAAAUAUCAACAGGGGCAAACGGUAUGAGGAGAUGACCUCGAAUGUUGCAGAAUUGUUUAAUAAAUGGAUACUUGAUGCCCGUAAUUAUCCAAUCACUAGGUUAAUUGAUACAAUCAGAAAUCAGAUAAUGACUAUGAGGGCUGAGCGUAAAUUAUUGGCUACUAAUUGGAAUGGGUUACUUUGUUCAAAAAUGGAAAGUCGUGUUAAGGAGGCGUACUCCAAUGGUUGCACAUGGAUUGUUAGCCAGGCAAAUGAAGACAUAUACGAGGUCCAUUCAUUUCCAAUGGUGUUGGUAAACAUUGGUAAGCGUUCAUGUUCAUGUUUCCAGUGGCAAUUGAAUGGAUUUCCAUGUGCACAUGCGGUGGUUGCAAUAUAGAAUAGUGGAAGGGAUUUUAGUACAUGUGUUGAAUAAUUUUUCACCGUUGAUCAAUACAAAGCAACUUAUUCCGGAUACAUUCAGUCAAUACCAACAGUUGACAAACCCUCAUUCUCGGAAGAUGACUUCAUCAUAUAUCCACUAGCAGUUAAACGUCCUCCAGGGUGAUCGAAGAAGAAUCGGAUACCAUAUCGGGGAGAGAAACUAAGUCAGAUAAGGUGCGGUCGAUGUGGCCGCAUGGGCAACCACAACCGAAAGACAUGUAAAGAACCAAUUUAGUAAUAGAUACUUAGAGGGCAAGUUUUAUAAUCACUUUUGAAUAGCAACAUCGUAUUAUCGUAGUAGAAUGUAGCGACACAAAAUGAUGACAAAUUUUAAUGAGUGA